GAUGAACGCUGGCGGCGUGCCUAACACAUGCAAGUCGAACGGAGUUACUUGUUUAGAUCUCUUCGGAGUGACGAACUUUUAACUUAGUGGCGGACGGGUGAGUAACACGUGAGCAACCUGCCUUUCAGAGGGGGACAACGGCUGGAAACGGUCGCUAAUACCGCAUAAUGCAUCAAUUUCGCAUGUUAUUGAUGCCAAAGGAGCAAUCCGCCUUUAGAUGAGCUCGCGUCUGAUUAGCUAGUUGGCGGGGUAACGGCCCACCAAGGCGACGAUCAGUAGCCGGACUGAGAGGUUGAACGGCCACAUUGGGACUGAGACACGGCCCAG
rnacentral:rRNA from 1 species